rnacentral:rRNA from 1 species
UACGUAGGGGGCAAGCGUUGUCCGGAAUUAUUGGGCGUAAAGAGCGUGUAGGCGGUCCGGUAAGUCAGCUGUGAAAGCCAGGGGCUCAACCCUUGGAUGCCGGUGGAUACUGUCGGGCUUGAGUACGGAAGAGGCGAGUGGAAUUCCUGGUGUAGCGGUGAAAUGCGCAGAUAUCAGGAGGAACACCAAUUGCGAAGGCAGCUCGCUGGGACGUUACUGACGCUGAGACGCGAAAGCGUGGGGAGCAAACAGG